rnacentral:rRNA from 1 species
GACGAACGCUUGCGGCGUGCUUAACACAUGCAAGUCGAACGGAAAGGCCCUGCUUUUGUGGGGUGCUCGAGUGGCGAACGGGUGAGUAACACGUGAGUAACCUGCCCUUGACUUUGGGAUAACUUCAGGAAACUGGGGCUAAUACCGGAUAGGAGCUCCUGCUGCAUGGUGGGGGUUGGAAAGUUUCGGCGGUUGGGGAUGGACUCGCGGCUUAUCAGCUUGUUGGUGGGGUAGUGGCUUACCAAGGCUUUGACGGGUAGCCGGCCUGAGAGGGUGACCGGCCACAUUGGGACUGAGAUACGGCCCAGACUCCUACGGGAGGCAGCAGUGGGGAAUAUUGCACAAUGGGCGGAAGCCUGAUGCAGCAACGCCGCGUGCGGGAUGACGGCCUUCGGGUUGUAAACCGCUUUCGCCUGUGACGAAGCGUGAGUGACGGUAAUGGGUAAAGAAGCACCGGCUAACUACGUGCCAGCAGCCGCGGUGAUACGUAGGGUGCGAGCGUUGUCCGGAUUUAUUGGGCGUAAAGGGCUCGUAGGUGGUUGAUCGCGUCGAAAGUGUAAUCUUGGGGCUUAACCCUGAGCGUGCUUUCGAUACGGGUUGACUUGAGGAAGGUAGGGGAGAAUGGAAUUCCUGGUGGAGCGGUGGAAUGCGCAGAUAUCAGGAGGAACACCAGUGGCGAAGGCGGUUCUCUGGGCCUUUCCUGACGCUGAGGAGCGAGAGCGUGGGGAGCGAACAGGCUUAGAUACCCUGGUAGUCCACGCUGUAAACGGUGGGUACUAGGUGUGGGGUCCAUUCCACGGGUUCCGUGCCGUAGCUAACGCUUUAAGUACCCCGCCUGGGGAGUACGGCCGCAAGGCUAAAACUCAAAGGAAUUGACGGGGCCCCGCACAAGCGGCGGAGCAUGCGGAUUAAUUCGAUGCAACGCGUAGAACCUUACCUGGGUUUGACAUGGAUCGGGAGUGCUCAGAGAUGGGUGUGCCUCUUUUGGGGUCGGUUCACAGGUGGUGCAUGGCUGUCGUCAGCUCGUGUCGUGAGAUGUUGGGUUAAGUCCCGCAACGAGCGCAACCCUUGUUCACUGUUGCCAGCACGUUAUGGUGGGGACUCAGUGGAGACCGCCGGGGUCAACUCGGAGGAAGGUGGGGAUGACGUCAAGUCAUCAUGCCCCUUAUGUCCAGGGCUUCACGCAUGCUACAAUGGCUGGUACAGAGAGUGGCGAGCCUGUGAGGGUGAGCGAAUCUCGGAAAGCCGGUCUCAGUUCGGAUUGGGGUCUGCAACUCGACCUCAUGAAGUCGGAGUCGCUAGUAAUCGCAGAUCAGCAACGCUGCGGUGAAUACGUUCCCGGGGCU